rnacentral:rRNA from 1 species
UACGAAGGGGGCUAGCGUUGUUCGGAAUUACUGGGCGUAAAGCGCGCGCAGACGGCCUUUCAAGUCAGGGGUGAAAGCCCGGAGCUCAACUCCGGAAUUGCCUUUGAAACUGUCAGGCUCGAGUACGGGAGAGGUGAGUGGAAUUCCCAGUGUAGAGGUGAAAUUCGUAGAUAUUGGGAAGAACACCGGUGGCGAAGGCGGCUAUCUGGACGACAACUGACGCUGAGGCGCGAAAGCGCGUGGAUCAAACAGG